rnacentral:rRNA from 1 species
GACGAACGCUGGCGGCGUGCUUAACACAUGCAAGUCGAACGGAAAGGCCCUGCUUUUGUGGGGUGCUCGAGUGGCGAACGGGUGAGUAACACGUGAGUAACCUGCCCUUGACUUUGGGAUAACUUCAGGAAACUGGGGCUAAUACCGGAUAGGAGCUCCUGCUGCAUGGUGGGGGUUGGAAAGUUUCGGCGGUUGGGGAUGGACUCGCGGCUUAUCAGCUUGUUGGUGGGGUAGUGGCUUACCAAGGCUUUGACGGGUAGCCGGCCUGAGAGGGUGACCGGCCACAUUGGGACUGAGAUACGGCCCAGACUCCUACGGGAGGCAGCAGUGGGGAAUAUUGCACAAUGGGCGGAAGCCUGAUGCAGCAGCGCCGCGUGCGGGAUGGCGGCCUUCGGGUUGUAAACCGCUUUCGCCUGUGACGAAGCGUGAGUGACGGUAAUGGGUAAAGAAGCACCGGCUAACUACGUG